CUGAACGCGAGGGAGAUAUAUAAUGGUACUGGCUCAGGAAUUUCUGUCAGAAAAAAAGCUGAGAAAUCUCUGGAAGUUUACUGUUAACUGAGAUUCCAGCACGCCCCAUACAGACCCUCUAUACAGCUUUAACAUUGGGAAACAAAGGCGAACUGGAUUUUACAUGGAGCUGUGAAAGUACCAACAUUAAACUGUGAACAAAUCAAAGCCAUGGUCUCGAGCGCAAUGCCUCAGUUGAAACGAAGGAGAGCAGAAGGAGGAGAUGGGUGCUGUAAAGAACGGAAUAUUUCUUUGGGUUCUUCUUCAGAAUAGUCGUAAAAAAUUUC